rnacentral:rRNA from 1 species
GACGGGUGAGUAACGCGUGGGUAACCUGCCUCAUACAGGGGGAUAACAGUUAGAAAUGACUGCUAAAACCGCAUAAGCGCACAUUGUCGAGUGACAGAGUGUGAAAAACUCCGGUGGUAUGAGAUGGACCCGCGUCUGAUUAGCUAGUUGGUGAGGUAACGGCCCACCAAGGCGACGAUCAGUAGCCGGCCUGAGAGGGCGACCGGCCACAUUGGGACUGAGACACGGCCCAAACUCCUACGGGAGGCAGCAGUGGGGAAUAUUGCACAAUGGGGGAAACCCUGAUGCAGCGACGCCGCGUGAGUGAAGAAGUAUUUCGGUAUGUAAAGCUCUAUCAGCAGGGAAGAAGAAAGACGGUACCUGACUAAGAAGCCCCGGCUAACUACGUGCCAGCAGCCGCGGUAAUACGUAGGGGGCAAGCGUUAUCCGGAUUUACUGGGUGUAAAGGGAGCGUAGACGGCUGUGCAAGUCUGAAGUGAAAGCCCAGGGCUCAACCCUGGGACUGCUUUGGAAACUGUGGAGCUAGAGUGCUGGAGAGGUAAGUGGAAUUCCUAGUGUAGCGGUGAAAUGCGUAGAUAUUAGGAGGAACACCAGUGGCGAAGGCGGCUUACUGGACAGUAACUGACGUUGAGGCUCGAAAGCGUGGGGAGCAAACAGGAUUAGAUACCCUGGUAGUCCACGCGGUAAACGAUGAAUACUAGGUGUUGGAGAGCAAAGCUUUUCGGUGCCGUCGCAAACGCAAUAAGUAUUCCACCUGGGGAGUACGUUCGCAAGAAUGAAACACAAAGGAAUUGACGGGGACCCGCACAAGCGGU